ensembl:lncRNA
GUAAAUAGCAUGUUUAAUGGGUAAGGGUAAGAAAGAAUGGGAAGACUUGCAUGAAGCUGAUUAUGGUCCUGUUGAGCUUAGAGCCAUGUUUUGAAGCACACUUGAGGUUUUAGCACUAAUGAAGGCUUGAGCCUUGAUUUUCUAGAAUUUUCAACUGAUUGAGCAUGAUAUAGUAACCAUUUAUUUUUUCUGUUUUUUGAUAUAGGAUCUUGCUAUGUAAUUCAGGCUGGCCUUGAAUUCACUGUGUAUCCUAGGCUGCCUCAAACUUGAGAUGAUCCUUCUGCUUCAGCCUUCUGAGUGCUGGGAUUACAGGCAUGUGCCACCACAUCUGGCUGAAUGGAUUCUACAGUGUUAGGAGCUCUGCAGACCUGCUUCCCAGUGAAACAAGCCGAACUGGUGAAAAUUCUCAGAGCGGUGGCUGCUUCAGAAGAAAGCAGCCAAGAACACAGGACUUGCUCCUUCCCAGCUCUUAGGUGAAGGUUAUAGUUAUCUUCUGGGAAGUGCAAGCCCCCAGAUAGUUAAGUCUUAGUUACACAUGCCUGAAAUCCCAGCACUUAAGAGACAGGCAGAAGGAUCACAAGUCUCAGACCAGCCUGGACUACAUAGUGAGUUUGAGAUCAACCUGAACUCCAAAGCAAGACCCUGUCUCAGAAACAAAACAACAAAAUUAUAUAAAGUAACUAAGACAAAGUAUUGUUUGGUGUGUAAUAUAUAGAUGUACUUUGCAUGAUAGUACAGAGAGUGAAGAAAGAAUAGUUAUAUAAAAGUGAUUUUUCUGUAACUUACCUGCACUAUGAACAGAUCUGUAGUUUUACUAGAUCUCAUAAAUUCUCAUGCUGCUGGUCAGAAUAUAAAAUGCUACAACUUCUUAGGAAAACAGCCAUAGUCCCCACAAGGUUAAGUAUAGAAUUACUGUUGGGCUUAGCAAAUCUACCCCUAUGUAUAUACUCCAUAAAUAUGAAACCUAUGUCCCUAUAUCCACAUAAAGAUUUGUGUGCAAAUGUACACAGCAGCAUCAUUGAUUAAUAGCAAGGAAAAGUAAAUCCAGUAUCCAUCAACUAAUGAAUGGAUAGAUGAAAUGUAAGAAGACAAUGAAAUAUUAUUUGGCAAGUAACAUGGAUGAACCUUGAACAUGUUAUGCUAAGUGAAACACAUCACAUUGAUUUCAUUGGCAUGAAAUGUCCAUUACAGGCAAAUCUAAAGAUGCAGAUUGGGCCAGGGAUUUAGCUCAGUGGUUCCGCCGCUUGCCUUGCAAGCGCAAGGUCCCGAGUUCUAUCCCUGAUACGCGGCCCCCCCCCAAAAGGAUAUAGAUUAGCGGUUGCCUAGGGCUGAAGGUAAAGGUGAGAUUGUGGAAUUAUACCUAAAGGGUACACGGCUUCUCUUUGGUGUAAUGAAAAUGUUAAGAUUUGAUCAUGGUAAUGGUUGUGUAAUUGUGUGAAUAUACUAAAAACCAUUGAGUUGUACACUUAACAUAGCUGAAUUACAGAGGUUUCUCCUUUUCUCCAUAUGUAUAGGGGAUACAUGCUAAGAACUCUAGUGAAUGCCUGAAACCCCAAGUAGUACUGAACCCUAGUAUAGGGAUAGUAUGUGCUAUUUUUUAUAAUACAUUUGUACCUAUAAUAACAUUUAAUUUAUAAA